rnacentral:rRNA from 1 species
UACGUAGGGUGCAAGCGUUGUCCGGAAUUAUUGGGCGUAAAGAGCUCGUAGGCGGUCUGUCGCGUCGGCUGUGAAAACUCGGGGCUCAACUCCGAGCUUGCAGUCGAUACGGGCAGGCUAGAGUUCGGCAGGGGAGACUGGAAUUCCUGGUGUAGCGGUGAAAUGCGUAGAUAUCGGAAGGAACACCAGUGGCGAAAGCGGCUUCCUGGUCCGACACCGACGUUCAGGCACGAAAGCGUGGGGAGCAAACAGG